CCUACGGGGGGCAGCAGUGGGGAAUAUUGCACAAUGGGGGAAACCCUGAUGCAGCAACGCCGCGUGAGUGAAGAAGUAAUUCGUUAUGUAAAGCUCUAUCAGCAGGGAAGAAAAUGACGGUACCUGAGUAAGAAGCCCCGGCUAACUACGUGCCAGCAGCCGCGGUAAUACGUAGGGGGCAAGCGUUAUCCGGAUUUACUGGGUGGAAAGGGAGCGUAGACGGCAGUGCAAGUCUGGAGUGAAAGGCGGGGGCUCAACCCCCGGACUGCUCUGGAAACUGGACGGCUGGAGUGCAGGAGAGGUAAGUGGAAUUCCUAGUGUAGCGGUGAAAUGCGUAGAUAUUAGGAGGAACACCAGUGGCGAAGGCGGCUUACUGGACUGUAACUGACGUUGAGGCUCGAAAGCGUGGGGAGCAAACAGGAUUAGAUACCCGAGUAGUC
rnacentral:rRNA from 1 species